CUGUUCGAGCGUCAUUAUAACCACUCAAGCCCCGGCUUGGUCUUGGGGUUCGCGGUCUCGCGGCCCUUAAAAUCAGUGGCGGUGCGUCUGGCUCUAAGCGUAGUAAUUCUCUCGCUAUAGGGUCCCGGCGGUUACCUGCCAGAACCCCCCCAUUUUUUACGGUUGACCUCGGAUCAGGUAGGGAUACCCGCUGAACUUAA
rnacentral:misc_RNA from 1 species